UACGUAGGGUGCAAGCGUUGUUCGGAAUUACUGGGCGUAAAGCGCGCGUAGGCGGUGAUCCAUGUCAGAGGUGAAAGCCUGGGGCUCAACUCCAGAAUUGCCUUUGAAACGGGAUCGCUAGAGUCCGAGAGAGGAUGGCGGAAUUCCUAGUGUAGAGGUGAAAUUCGUAGAUAUUAGGAAGAACACCGGUGGCGAAGGCGGCCAUCUGGCUCGGUACUGACGCUCAGGCGCGAAAGCGUGGGGAGCAAACAGG
rnacentral:rRNA from 1 species